UACGUAGGGGGCAAGCGUUAUCCGGAUUCACUGGGCGUAAAGGGAGCGCAGGCGGCACGGCAAGUCUGGUGUGAAAGCCCGGGGCCCAACCCCGGGACUGCAUUGGAAACUGCCGGGCUGGAGUGCCGGAGGGGUAAGCGGAAUUCCUGGUGUAGCGGUGAAAUGCGCAGAUAUCAGGAAGAACACCGGUGGCGGAGGCGGCUUACUGGACGGCAACUGACGCUGAGGCUCGAAAGCGUGGGGAGCAAACA
rnacentral:rRNA from 1 species